rnacentral:rRNA from 1 species
UGUAGCUGGUCUGAGAGGACGACCAGCCACACUGGGACUGAGACACGGCCCAGACUCCUACGGGAGGCAGCAGUGGGGAAUUUUGGACAAUGGGCGAAAGCCUGAUCCAGCAAUGCCGCGUGCAGGAUGAAGGCCUUCGGGUUGUAAACUGCUUUUGUACGGAACGAAAAGGCGCCUAUUAAUACUGGGUGUUGAUGACGGUACCGUAAGAAUAAGCACCGGCUAACUACGUGCCAGCAGCCGCGGUAAUACGUAGGGUGCGAGCGUUAAUCGGAAUUACUGGGCGUAAAGCGUGCGCAGGCGGUGUUGUAAGACAGUUGUGAAAUCCCCGGGCUCAACCUGGGAACUGCAUCUGUGACUGCAAUGCUGGAGUGCGGCAGAGGGGGAUGGAAUUCCGCG